rnacentral:rRNA from 1 species
UAGAGGAAGUAAAAGUCGUAACAAGGUUUCCGUAGGUGAACCUGCGGAAGGAUCAUUACCGAGUGAGGGCCCUCUGGGUCCAACCUCCCACCCGUGUUUAUUUUACCUUGUUGCUUCGGCGGGCCCGCCUUAACUGGCCGCCGGGGGGCUUACGCCCCCGGGCCCGCGCCCGCCGAAGACACCCUCGAACUCUGUCUGAAGAUUGUAGUCUGAGUGAAAAUAUAAAUUAUUUAAAACUUUCAACAACGGAUCUCUUGGUUCCGGCAUCGAUGAAGAACGCAGCGAAAUGCGAUACGUAAUGUGAAUUGCAAAUUCAGUGAAUCAUCGAGUCUUUGAACGCACAUUGCGCCCCCUGGUAUUCCGGGGGGCAUGCCUGUCCGAGCGUCAUUGCUGCCCUCAAGCACGGCUUGUGUGUUGGGCCCCGUCCUCCGAUCCCGGGGGACGGGCCCGAAAGGCAGCGGCGGCACCGCGUCCGGUCCUCGAGCGUAUGGGGCUUUGUCACCCGCUCUGUAGGCCCGGCCGGCGCUUGCCGAUCAACCCAAAUUUUUAUCCAGGUUGACCUCGGAUCAGGUAGGGAUACCCGCUGAACUUAAGCAUA